rnacentral:rRNA from 1 species
UACGAGAGGCCCAAACGUUAUUCGGAAUUACUGGGCUUAAAGCGUUCGUAGGCGGUAUGAAAAGUAGGGUGUGAAAGCCCUCGGCUUAACCGAGGAAUUGCGCUCUAAACUGUCGUACUCGAGGAACCUAGAGGUGAGCAGAACAGAUGGUGGAGCGGUGAAAUGCGUAGAUAUCAGGAGGAACACCGGUGGUGUAGACGGCUCUCUGGACCGUAACUGACGCUGAGACACGAAAGCGUGGGUAGCAAACAGG